CCUACGGGCGGCAGCAGUGGGGAAUAUUGCACAAUGGGGGAAACCCUGAUGCAGCGACGCCGCGUGAGCGAUGAAGUAUUUCGGUAUGUAAAGCUCUAUCAGCAGGGAAGAAAAUGCCGGUACCUGCCUACGAAGCCCCGGCUAACUACGUGCCAGCAGCCGCGGUAAUACGUAGGGGGCAAGCGUUAUCCGGAUUUACUGGGUGUAAAGGGAGCGUAGACGGCGAUGCAAGCCAGAUGGGAAAGCCCGGGGCUCAAACCCGGGACUGCAUUUGGAACUGGAUAGCUGGAGUGUCGGAGAGGCAGGCGGAAUGCCUAGUGUAGCGGUGAAAUGCGUAGAUAUUAGGAGGAACACCAGUGGCGAAGGCAGCAUGCUGGACGAUGACUGACGUUGAGGCUCGAAAGCGUGGGGAGCAAACAGGAUUAGAUACCCGAGUAGUC
rnacentral:rRNA from 1 species